GGAAGAAGUCAAGUGUUAGACUGUGUUGUUUUUCUGCUAUGCUGGGUCACCUGUUCGAGUGCUUUGUGUCUUUGCUUUUAAUGUGUGCUAUUAACAGGAAAUGCGUCUAUAAAAGAGUGACUGCAGGUUUCUUGUGACUUUCUCUGUAUUUCAGGCACUGAACAGUACGUGACAGCACUGCAGGUGCCUGCCUAAAGGAAGCUCUGCUGGGAUUUAUUGAUGUAAUUUCUGUAUAAGCAGGGUAAAGAUAUUUUUGUGGUAUUUUAGAACUCAAUGUGCUUUAAAAGUUGUGGGAAUUUUUUUAUAAAGCAGAAUUUGGCACAAA